GGUGACAGAGCCCGGUGAGGCCGAAGCCCCGACAGGCAGAGGCCCUGCCGGAGUUCUGACCCUCUGCUGCCCAGCUCUGCCUGUGAGGUCCACACCUCCGCCUUGCCCAGCCGCAGACCUCCAGGCCUGGGAACUGGACCUUGAUGUGGUGCCCUGUUCAUUAUUUACUUGCUUCCACUUCCUCCAGCCUGGCCAACAGCAAUAGGGAGCUCUCUGGUUUAUGUGCUGCGAAUGUUGAAAAAUUCAGUCACACUGGAGCCUGUUUGUGCUUAAACUUUUGAUAUCUCGUUCACUAUGGACUCUUUCACAUAUUUUUAUGGUGUUCCAUUAAAGUGUCAUUUAUUUCCGUGAGUGCUUUUCAGGGACCCUUGAAGCUGUUCACGUGGGACCAGUACCUCCCUCUCCUCACCGUCAUCAAGCUGUAAGUCAGUGUUCCGUCCCCAGAUGGCCACUUGCCUGACUCCUGGACAGCUAAAGAAACCGUACGGGGACUAUCGGUGGGGUGGGUGAGAUUCUCCGCAACACGCCAUCCGCGCUCACAGACCGCUCUGUGUCACCUCUCGCUCCCUCUCACGGCAGGGGACACCGUCUGACUUCUUUAACUGCACCCUCCGAAGCAGAGACACCUGUUUCAGGGACAGCUACUGAGUAGAUGGUCCUUUGAGCAAUUUGCCCUGCUUGUGACCUGGAACAAAGAUGUGGAGACUCCCAAGCAAUCACGGACGUGGGGCUGCUUCUCUGCUGGAUGAUGCUUCCUGUACCUACAAAGCCUCGAGCCAAGGAAGAUCACUCCUGGCCAUCACCUCUUGCCUGAAGUCUUGCCUACCACUAUGAGCCUCUCUCCCUGGCCUCUCCUCAUGUGGCUGAGACUGUCUUUUGGACACUUAUGACUUCCCGGGGGAGAUUCCCAGAGCCUAAUGGGUCUCAGCUGGAAAAGGAUGCAGCCUGUUUUGAUAGAGUUACUUUCACACAGCCAGGCCAUGGCACAGGUUAUAAGAGUUUGUGCCUAUUAUGGAGAAGACCCACCAGACAACCCAACGCCAGAGGAUUUUGGUUUGGCUCAAAUGUUCCUCACAGCGGCUUGGGGAGCCUUCAAGGUGUUGUGUGUCAUGAGGUUUCUCAAAAAAAGGAAAUCACAAAUCAUACUGAAGGUGCUGGGUGGGCGUACUCAGGGGUGGGACAGUUGCCAGCAACAGUGAGGCCCUGGGUUCAAUCUCCAGUUCUGCAAAAAGUAAAAUAAAAUCACAUCAUGCUGAAUGUAUCACAUACGGCAUACUUACCCUAAA